GGUGAUCCUGAGAACAACAUUGAACAGGUAUAAUGUGAGUUGCUGCACUUCAGCCAACCAAACCUCCCUCUCCCCCGAAAUUUGCUAAGGGUUGGAUGCUUCCCAUCAGAAAUCUAUUCUCUGUGAGGCCUCUCCCUAACCACUCCUCACCUCCACCUCCCAAGGGUGACCGUUAUGUCUUUCUUAGACACUUUGGCUGAAUGUAUUUGUUUGCGUGCAUUUCCUUUGGAAUUCAUAGGAAAGGACACAGUCAUGAAGAUGUAGGAUAUCUGAAGGGAGAGAAAGGAGAUCAGAAAUAGAGUAGUUCAGAAAUAGAGCACUGACUUUCUUUAGCUUUUUUUUUUUUUUUUUUUUCUUAGCCUGGACCUCUUUUGUAGAAGGCAGCAAGACCUUUAAGGGUAUAAAAAGUGGAUGAGAGAGACAAAGAGGGAGGUAUGGAAAACAAGGGUGAUAGGAGAUCUCCAGGACAAACUACCUCAUUGUUUUGCCUGACUCUGGCUCCAGAAAUGAAAGGUCCCUCUUCCCCUCUGGGCAAAAGAAAGAAUCAGCAUAAUUAAAUGUUCAAGGUUUGUUAGAUGUUAGGUGCCUGCAUUUCAGCUGAGGAAGGAGCUGUUCCAUAAAGUGGAGAUUUCUCUGUUGAGAACUGCCCUGCAGAAAUCAAGCUGGCAUCAAAGCCUGGUCUUUUUAAUUCUGUUUCUUUCUGAGUUUUGCUGCAGCUCAUAAGUUAUAAUCAGAGGAAGGAAACGCCUGAGAGAUCUGAAGGUUUUAAUUGUUGUUGAGUGCAGAUGGUUUGGAUUACCGCACAGGAAUGGAGCUCAAGGAAGAGGGAAGUUUGGACACAGACACACACAGACAAGAGAAUACCAUGUGACAAAGGCAGAGAUUGGAAUGAUACAGCUGCAAGCCAGGGAUGCCAAGGAUUGCAGGUGAAGAGUCAAGGAAGGAUUCUACCCAGAGUUGCACGGCCUUAUUGACACCUUGAUUUGGGCUUCUAGACUCCAGAAUCAUGACAGAAUAAAUUUAUCUGUGUGGAUGUGUGUGUGUGUGUGUGUGUGUGUGUGUGUGUGUGUGUUUUCCUAAAAAAGAGACAAGGUCUCAUUCUAUCCCCCAGGAUGGAGUGCAGUGUCAUGAUCAUAGCUCACUGCAGCCUCGAUCUCCUGGACUCAAAGCAUCUUCCCACCCCAGCCUCCCAGGAAUCUGGGACUACAGGUGUGAACCACUGUGCCGGCUCUGUUGAUUUAAGCCACCGAGUUUGUGGAACUUUGUUAUGGCAGUUCUAGAAAAUGAAUAUAAUAAUUAAAAUGAAAGUUUUGCUAACUGCUACCUUUACCUUUACCAUGUGCAAUUUUAUUUUAUUCUUUUUUUAAGCUUCUUAUAACUCAGUUCACUGGUUUCAUAAUCUACUAAUGGGUUGUAAUCCAAAGUGUGAAUAAUAUACCAGAAAUACCCUUGAAAGUUCUUUCCAAACUUGAGAGUUUGUGAUUCUAUGGGACCUAAGUGGGGCACAGAUCAGAAGAAUCAAAACACAAAAAAG
rnacentral:lncRNA from 10 species